rnacentral:rRNA from 1 species
GGGCGCGGAGGAUCCGCUGGAAACAAGUUCUGGAUGUCGAUGGGUCUGCCGGUGGCAGCCACUGUCAACUGUGCUGACAAAGCUGGUGCCAAGAACCUGUACAUCAUCUUUGUCAAGGGAAUCAAGGGGCGCCUGGACAGGCUUCCUUCUGCCUGCGUUGGUGACAUGGUUAUGGCCACUGUCAAGAAGGGAAAGCCUGACCUGAGGAAGAAGGUCAUGCCUGCUGUCAUUGUCAGGCAGCGCAAGUGGCGCAGAAAGGACGGUGUCUUCAUGUACUUUGAAGGUACUGCUAAGUUCUUGUGA